GCCGCGGUAGCUCAGAAGUAGAGCACUUCUCUGAAAAAGAAGGGGUGGCCGGAGCGUUACCGGCCCGCGGCA
rnacentral:tRNA from 1 species